rnacentral:rRNA from 1 species
CCUGAUGACCAUAGCAAGUCGUACCACCCCUUCCCAUCCCGAACAGGACCGUGAAACGACUCCGCGCCAAUGAUAGUGCUGCAACCAGUGUGAAAGUAGGUCAUCGUAGCUU